rnacentral:rRNA from 1 species
UACGGGGGGAGCGAGCGUUGUUCGGAAUUACUGGGCGUAAAGGGCGUCUAGGCGGGUCGGUCAGUCAGAAGUGAAAACUCCCGGCUUAACUGGGAGCCUGCUUUUGAAACUGCCGGUCUUGAGUGUGGAAGAGGUGCGGGGAAUUCUCAGUGUAGCGGUGAAAUGCGUAGAUAUUGGGAAGAAUGCCGGUGGCGAAGGCGCCGCACUGGUCUAACACUGACGCUGAAGCGCGAAAGCGUGGGGAGCAAACAGG